rnacentral:rRNA from 1 species
UUCCGGUUGAUCCUGCCGGACCUGACUGCUAUCGGAUUGAUACUAAGCCAUGCGAGUUUUUGUAGUAAUACAAGGCAGACGGCUCAGUAGCACGUAGCCAAUCUAACCUAUGGACGGGGAUAACCUCGGGAAACUGAGGAUAAACCCCGAUAGAUCAUUAUGCCUGGAACGGUUUAUGGUCCAAACGAUUCGUCGCCAUAGGAUGAGACUGCGGCCUAUCAGCUUGUUGGUGAGGUAAUGGCCCACCAAGGCUAUUACAGGUACGGGCUCUGAGAGGAGAAGCCCGGAGAUGGGUACUGAGACACGGACCCAGGCCCUAUGGGGCGCAGCAGGCGAGAAACCUUUGCAAUGUGCGCAAGCACGACAAGGUUAAUCCGAGUGUUUCCUGCUAAAGGAAUCUUUUGCUAGUCCUAAAAACACUAGUGAAUAAGGGGUGGGCAAGUUCUGGUGUCAGCCGCCGCGGUAAAACCAGCACCUCAAGUUGUCAGGAGGAUUAUUGGGCCUAAAGCAUCCGUAGCCUGCUCUGUAAGUUUCCGGUUAAAUCCAUUAGCUCAACUAAUGGGCUGCCGGAAAAACUGCAAAGCUAGGAAGUGGGAGAGGUAGACGGUACUCAGUAGGAAGGGGUAAAAUCCUUUGAUCUAUUGAAGACCACCUGUGGCGAAGGCGGUCUACCAGAACACGUUCGACGGUGAGGGAUGAAAGCUGGGGGAGCAAACCGGAUUAGAUACCCGGGUAGUCCCAGCUGUAAACGAUGCAGACUCGGUGAUGCGCCGGCUUGUGGCCAGUGCAGUGCCGCAGGGAAGCCGUUAAGUUUGCCGCCUGGGAAGUACGUACGCAAGUAUGAAACUUAAAGGAAUUGGCGGGGGAGCACACAAGGGGUGAAGCCUGCGGUUCAAUUGGACUCAACGCCGGAAAUCGUCG